GGACUGGAAGCAGCGCUACUGGUUCACGGUGCAGCCGCACACCGGCGUCGUGGCGCUAGUGUCGCCUCUCGACAGAGAAACUACAGCACACCUGACGGUGCCGCUGGAGGCGCGUACGUCUCAGGGCAGCGCAGAAGCGACGUUGUACGUCACCGUCGAAGACGUCAACGAGUUUCCGCCGCGUUUUGCCAACGACGUUUAUCAGACGCAGAUUACUGAGGAAGACGACAGACACCUGCCCAAGCCGGUCAUACAGGUGGUCGCGCGGGAUCAUGAUGGGGGCAACUGGGGAGUGCUGCGCUACUCUCUCAGUGGGGACGGGGUCCCAAAUCCUGAGGAACUUCACCCCCAGAAUUCAAUUCCUAAUCCUACCGAAGAUAAUCAUAACAACAAAGCUACGAGACGUCAACAUUUUCCCCCAAUCAAGAUCAUCUUCUCUGAGCAAACCCAACAAGCCACACUUGACUCCCAUAGCAAAGUCGUCGUCACGACUUCUCCCGGUCUCUUCGUCGCUCGUCAGUGACAUUGUCCUCGGUCUCGCGGGUCCGGCGCUUCGGUCUCCAGGGGCGCCGCCCCCCGCCAUCGCCCCGCCCUCGGUCUCCAAGAGCAAACACUGGACGCGUCGCCGGGCUGCCUUCUCCGUUGAUCCCGAGUCCGGCACCAUCUACGUGCUUAAGCCGUUGGACCGUGACGCACCAACGGGC